GUGGGCGUGCCGGAGUGGUUAUCGGGCAUGACGAGAAAUCAUGUGGGCUUUGCCCGUGUAGGUUUGAAUCCUGCUGCUCACG
rnacentral:tRNA from 1 species